rnacentral:rRNA from 1 species
CCUACGGGAGGCUGCAGUGGGGAAUAUUGCACAAUGGGGGAAACCCUGAUGCAGCGACGCCGCGUGAGGGAUGAAGGUUUUCGGAAUGUAAAGUCCUUUCAGUAGGGAAGAAAAUGACGGUAUCUGAGGAAUAAGCACCGGCUAACUCCGUGCCAGCAGCCGCGGUAAUACGGAGGGGGCAAGCGUUAUCCGGAAUUACUGGGCGUAAAGGGCGCGUAGGCGGGAUAGCAAGUCAGAUGUGAAAGCCUGUGGCUUAACCGCAGAACUGCAUUUGAAACUGUUAUUCUAGAGUACGGGAGAGGUAGGUGGAAUUCUUGGUGUAGCGGUAAAAUGCGUAGAUAUCAAGAGGAAUACUAAUGGCGAAGGCGACCUGCUAGAAGAUAACUGACGCUGAUGCGCGAAAGCGUGGGGAGCAAACAGGAUUAGAUACCCCUGUAGUC